CCUUAUAUGCCUCUUUUGCUCCUGUACCUGAAAAUAGUUUAAUGAUUUUGCCAAAUUAAUUUUGAACAGAUCUUGUGUGUUUUUUAACGUAGUUAUAUAUGCUUCAUAUCUUUCGGACACCGUUACAAGAAUUUUUUUAACAAAUCUUGAAUUUUUAAAUUCAAGGCCUAAUAGUCUUACCUUUUUCACAAUGCCAAGCAAUCUGUUAAAGUAUUCCUCAAUUGUUUCAAACUCUUUCAUUCUCUGCAACUCGAAUUCUAGUUUAUCAGGGUAUUAGUUAACUGUUUCAGACUCUUUCAUUCUCUGCAACUCGAAUUUCCUCAUUAAAUUCAAUACCUUCAUUCCUCGUAUUCUUUUAUCUCCGACAUAUUAUUUCUGUAGAUAGUUCCAAAUUUCUUUUGGUGAUGUGAGAGUCAUAAUUCUCAUAAAAAUAAUUGUUCAAACAAACAAUAAAUAAAGUUGUUUUCGCAUUAGACUUGAUAGUUUUCUUUUCCUUGUGACUCUUGAUUUGGGUCAGGUGCAAUUAUUGGGCAGUGGAAUAAUUUCAUAAUCCUCUUUCAUGACUUCCCAAAAAGCAUGAGUCUCCAAUUAGAUUUUCAUUCUCACAUGUCAUAGUUGAUAAUUUUCACCAUUAAAAAUAGGAUGAAUCAUUCAGAAAAACUGUUUUCAGAAUCUAUCUUUUCACUUACAUGUCCCUCAAAAAAAUGACUCUAGAUAUCAAUUGUUGGCCUUUAUCAAAGAAAUUUAAAAAUAACAGAGAAAAAAUAUUGAGAGAAGAAUAUUGCAAUGAGGCCAAAGGAAAUUAUUUUAUUCAGUUUCAUUGAACUAUACAUCUAUAAGAACAAACGUAGAAAAAAGAAAAUGAUAAACUAGCUUAGACUUUCUCUGAAAAAUAUCUUUUAACUAACUAAUUACUAAGUAACAGAAAAAUCUAGCUAACACCCUAUUAACAAAGAUUUAUUAAAAAAUAAAAAGGGUCAAAAAUACUCCUGAAUUAUUUGAAAUGAAGCAAAAAUAUCUUCCGUAGUUUUUUGACUAAAUAAUACUCCUCCUAUAAAUUUUGGCUCUCUCCUCUCUAAUAGAAUAACACCAAGUACACCACGUGGACAAAAAAGGUCACAUGGCUAGUCUACGUCAGCGUCCACUUGUAAAAUCACCCCAUUUAACACCACUAACCAUCAACCCAUUGAAACCUUGAACUCUAAAUCAAAGGAUAAAGCAUGUUCAUGAACGCACUGUAAUUCUACAGCGAACAAACCAAAUUUUGAAUAAUUUCAACUACUCCAGUAGAUACUAUCUUUUCUUGACAUUGUAACACUAUCCUUUUUCCGGAAGGUACUCCCUUCAUCCCAAAUUACCUAUCUCAAAUUUUCUAAUUUGAUGUUCCAUUUUACUUGUAUUUUUUCAAUAAUCAAGAAGAGCCAAAAAAAAAUUUCAUGUUUUACCCUUUGCAUAAUUACUUUUUCUUUAAAUUAAAAUGUAAACAUCAUUUAAUAGGGGUACUAUGGUAAACUAGCCAUGUUAUUUAUUAUUUUUUUUAAUCAAUGUAUCACUUCAAUUUGAGACGGAGGGAGUAGAAUGCAACCAAAAAUGCUAAUCCCUUGUGUUUUUUCUAAUGGUAAAUGGAGGGAAAACAACUAAAAAGAAUAAGCAAUUAAGGAUACACUUGUUAUCCUCUUCCUUGUAUAAGAAAGCCAUCCUUCAAAUGUUAUAAUAAUAACACCAUACUAUAGGUAGCCCCAUUCCCACCCCUCAAAUCCAAACAGAAUAAAUUAGGAUUGAAUCAAAACAAAAAACUAAAACUGAAAAAACAAUACAAAUUAAGAGCCCGUUUGGGAUUACGGUUAGAAAACUGCUUAUUUGAGAAUCACUUUUUUAAAAGGGAUCUUUCAAAAAUAGCAGCAAGCCACAUUUUACAAAAUAACUAUUUAUAGUCGUUGUAUUCGAUUUAUGCCCGUCGUAUUCGGUUUUACAGAUAGUAUGUAUUCAUAUAAAAUAUGAAUACAGUCCCUAUUUAGUCGCGCCAAAAAUGAAAUUCAAUAUUUUUAAAAAGAAAAAAAUAUCAAUCACGCUUAUCUCGUUGAACUGAAUAUUUUCUUGCCUAACACUACCAUUAUCUUUUUUAUAUUAUUUUAUCUUUUGUGUUUUUCCCAUUUUUUCUUCUUCCUUUUUCUAUUUUUCCUACUUUUAUUUUUUUCGUUUCUUUCUUUUUAUUUUUUUAUUUUUUUCUCUCUUUAAUCUCUAACUUCUAUUUCUCUUUCUUCUUUUCUUUUCUUCUUUGAUUUUUUUUAUUUUCUUUUUUGUACUUAUUUUCUUUAUUAUUUUUUUGUUCUAUUUUAUAUUUUUUGUAUUUUCAAAAAAUAUGACUAGUCGAGCACAAGUCAUGGAUGAUAAUGUAAAUACCACAAUUGUUUAUCGUAUUUAUAGUCACACCGCCAUUUAUAUUUUGUAUUUAUUGAUACAACUGUGUUUGUAUUUGUAUUUUAAAGUUUGUACUUGUAUUUAUAUUUUAUAGUUCGCAUUUGUAUUUGUAUUUAAUAGUUCGCACUUGUAUUUGUAUUUGUUAGUUUGCGCCAUCAUUUAUAUUUUAUAUAAUUCUCACUUAAAUUUUAAAUAACUAUUGUGUAUUUGUAUUUUAUAAUUGAUUGCAUAUUAUAUUGGAUUAUAUUUAUAUUAUGGUUUUAUUGUGUUUGUAUAUUUAGAUUAUAUUUGGAUUAUACUUGUAUUUGUAUUCUAUUUUCGUUGAUUCCUUUUUAUUUUUUAAAAAUUAUUUUGUAUUUAUAUUUUUAAGUUGAUUGCAUAUUGUAUUUAACCGUGACUAUGUACAAUUUAUUAUUUAUAUUUAUAUACAAACAAGUAAAUGCAUUAAUUGUACUUUCUUGAUUUUAAAAUAUAUAAAUAUAUAAUGUAUCAUUUGUUACAAAUGUACUGUUUUGUAUUUGUAUAUCAAAAUUAUCAUUCAUAUUUGAAAAUAAAUAAAUAUCACUUGAUACAAAUACAAUGACAAACAAAUGAAGAUACAAAUGUACCAUUUUGUAUUUGUACAUCAAAAUUAUCAUUCAUAUUUGUAAAUAAACAAAGAUCACUUGAUACAAAUACAAUGACAAACAAAUGAAACAAAUGAUUUUACAAAUACAAAUACAAUACGUAUCUGUAUAUAUUGUAUUUGUAUAAAAAUUUGAGUCAUAUUUAUUUAUAUAAAUAAAUACAACUAGUAUCAAUAAAUACAAACAAGUAUUCGUAGAAAGAAACUUAAUCAUUCCUUUUCAAUAAUUAAAAAAUACAAAUGAUAGUUCACACUUGUAUUUAUAUAUUAUACUUUGCAUUUGUAUUUGUAUUUUAUAGUUCACGCUUGUAUUUAUAUGUUAUAGUUCGCAUUUGAAUUUAUAUUUUAUAGUUCGCAUUUGUAUUUAUAUGUUACAGUUCGCAUUUGUAUUUGUAUUUUAUAGUUCGCACUUGUAUUUGUGUAUGUUAGUUCGCACAAAUGAAAAGAAGGAGAGAAAUUGAAAAGAAAAAAAAAGGAUAAAAAUGAGAGAAAAAGAAGGAGAAAAAAUACAAAAAAAAAAGGAAAAAAAAGGAAAAAAUAAAAAGGAAAAAAAAAUAAAAAGAAAAAAAUGAAUAAAACGAAAAAAGAAAAAAGUGAAAAAAUAAAGAGAAAGCAACAAAAAAGGAAAAGAAAAACUGGAGAAAAAAAAAUUGAAAAAGAAAAAAAAGAAGAGAAUAAUAGAAAAUAGAAAAAGAGAGAAAAUACAUGAGAAAGACUAUGAAUUGUAAUUAGGAAUAAUUAAUAGGAAAGAGGGGGCUAUGAAUUAUAAUUAAUUAAAAAUUAGGCUUUAAGUGAUAAUAAAAGCUCAAUAGUGGCUAAUCCGAGUAAUUUUUCCUUUUAAAAAUAGUUUUUCAUAAAAGUGCUUUGAAAAAAAAAAUUGUGUUAGGUAAAUUCAUUUGAAAAGUGCUUUUGAUAAACAGAUUGCAUUUGAAUAAUUUUUUCCAAAAAGUAUUUUUUUGAGACAAAUGACCAAAAAGGAUAUGUAUUAAUAAACUGUUACUAUUAAAAUCAAUUUAUAUAGAAAAUUUAUUUUAAAUAUAUAUUAUAAUAUUUUUAAUUUAAAUUUUAUUUUUAUUUAAUUAAAAAGUACAUACUCUAAAAUUUUUAAUCAAUAUUUACAUAAAUAAAUUCAUUAAAAAAUAUUAAAUAAUUAUAUAUUGCUUAAAUAAUUUAAAUAUUAAUUGAUAACAUCAAACAAAAAUGAAUAAGAAAUCAUCAUAUUCAUAUAUGUACAAUAAAUGUAAUAAAUAUGUCAUUUUUCAUGAAUUAGUUAUUUAAAAUUAAAUAUUCAAAAAAAAAUUGUACAAAUACUGUCAAAAUACCAUUUAAUCUUGUAACAUAAUUCAUUUGUCAUUUGUUAUCAUUAAUAAUAAAAAAUAAAAAGGUAUAUAUUCUUCGAUCAUCAUCAUCAAUGAUAUUUUCAAAUUUAUUUAAACCAAAUGAGUGAAAAUGAAAUAAUAAUAAUAAUAAUAAUAAUAAUAAUAAUAAUAAUAAUAAUAAUAAUAAUAAAAUAUAUAAAUCAUUAAAUAAAAUAAAGAAUUAUGAUAUAAAUAUGUAGUAUAAAGUUUUAAAAUCAAACUUUAAUCAUACUUAUAAGAUAUGUUAAUUAAUUAAUAAUGGAUAUAUAUGUGAUUGAGAGAGUGUGUGUGUGAGUAAUAGGGAUAUUUGUGUCAUAAAAAAAUAAUUUUCUGCUUCUGCUUUUUUUGAAAAACAGAAAUUUUUUGCUUCUUCUCAGAAGCAGAAAAAUUACUUCUGCUUCUUUUUACAAGCACCUUUGAAAGUUUACCAAAGACUAUUCAUUUCCAAAAAAAUUUAUUUUUUUCUCAAAAUAAGUGUUUAUUUUGGGAUAUAAGCAAUCUCAAACAGACACAAAGUAACAUUUCAUAAUAAAAAAAGUUAAAGUAACUCGUAGCCAACAAAAAAACACCAACUUUAUCAUCAAUCAUCCACAAAGUCCAGUUUCUCGAUGAGCAUGAAUGUCAAAUCACACAAAUCCUUCAAAACUAGAGAGAUAAAAACUAAAUAGUGCACAAGCCCUCAACCCAAAGGAUAGAACAAACAAAGAAAGGAAAAAAAGGCUCACUAAUUUUCGUUGUAGGAAAAAAUGAUUCUAAAUCAAAAGCACGUGAAUGGGGCAAUUUUCUAUGUGGACGCUGACAUGAAUUGGUCAUACAACCUUUUUGUCCACAUGUAGUACUUAGUGUCAUUCCACUAGAGAGGGGGGUAUUUUUGAGCCAAAAAUCGGGGGGUAUUUUUACUCAAUUUUAGAUAGUGUAAGGGUAUUGUUGCCCCCUUUACGUUAAAAAACUAAAGCAAUAAAAUAAAAUAAAUGUAAUUCAAAAUCAAUAAUUCUUACAGUACCAACUAUAUUCAACCUCUCAUACCUCUUCAAUGCGCUAUCUACUUAUCUCCUUUUCACAUGUUCAAACAUCUCAUUCUUACUUUCCUCAUCUUGUCCACCAUAAAGGUCAUUUCGGCCUUAUUCUAAAUAUCUGCAUUUCUAGUCUUAUCCCUCCUAGUAUGUUUACACAUCUAUCUCAACAUCUGUAUUUUCAGAACUUAUAUCUUCUUGACAUGAAAGUUUUUUAAUUGAUCAUACACUCUGCUCAUAUAAUAAGGUAAUCUAACUACUGCUUUAUAGAACUUACCUUAACUUUUGGUGGUAUCUUUCUAUCACACAAGACUAUGGAGGCAGGCCUCCACUUCAUCCAUCCACACUGAUACAAUGUGUGACAUCAUCAUUGAUCUCCUUAUUAUCUUGGAUUAAAGACCCAACAUACUUGAAACUUUCUUUACUGGGGAUGACUUGUGUAUCCAGCUUUACUUGCACAUCAGCCUCAUGUGAUGCAUCACUAAAUUUGUACUCCAAAUAUUUUGUUUUAAUCUUGCUCAAACUAAAUUCUUUAGACUCUAAAGUCUCUAUACCUCCAAUCUAAAGCUCCCGCUAUGCAUAGGGUUCGAAAAAAGAUUGAACCACAAAGAUUUAAUAUACGUAGUCUUUCCUCAUAUUUCUGCUAAAGGUUGUUUCCACAACUUAAACCUGUGACCUCUGGGCCACAUGACAACAACUUUACCAGUUACUCCAAGGCUCCCUUCAAAAAUAAAAAAAGAAUAAGCAUUCAUAUUAUGAUUAAAAAAAACUAAGUUUAACCAAAAGUCAUUUCAAAUUAAAAAAAUAUUAUGAAAAAGAUGUCAUCUCUUAAAAUAUGUAAAUAAUUAAUUUAAAUAAUAUAAAAAUAAUCUAUAUAUAUAAAGGAGGCUUAGAGAUUUGCUUAUAUGACAUACUUCUAAGGCCACCAUUUGUAUUUAUCUUGUUUCAAUUUUUUGACUUUUCUCUCUUAUAUUUUCUUCAAAAUAUUUGCUGAAAAAUUAAUCAAUCUAUGAUUAAAUCUAUAAUUAUUCACAUUAAUUUGUAUUAAAUUUAUUUUUAAAGCCAAAAAUACUUUUUCUCUCCCAACGUUUCAAACAACUCUUAAGUUCCUAAUCGUGGAUUGGAUUGUAUAUACAGGUAGGAUUGGAGGAGUUGAGUGAUUUUUGUUGGAAAAGGAAAAGGAGUGUAGGUUUGAAUUUCUUUCGCUUAAAUUGUUGGUUUUUCUUCUUCUUAUAUUCUAGCAACAGUAAAUCCAUAACCAAAAACAAAAAAUUAAAACCAACUAACUAAUUACUAAUAGGAGCAUUAGCACAUACAGGAGGAAAACCCAAAAAAGUCUUGAAGUAGCAUUGAGACGAACUUCAACUUUUAGGCAUUUCCUCGAUGAUCAUUGAAGUGUAAGUAUCUUUGUUUGUCUUUGAAACCUAUAGUAAUUUAGUUAUUUGUUUCUGCUAAUAAGUAUAUUUUGAUUUGAUAAUCUACGGGAAGUACGAGGAGACUGAACCACCAGAAGUUAUAGACUUUAGUUACGUUGCGUAUGGUUAUAUCUACUACAAAGGAGUUGCUACUGAUGGAAAUUGAUAUACCAAACUCCUCUAAAUUUGAGUCAAGUAAUCCCACAGUGAAAACAUUUCUCAGGAGAUCUAAUGGGGUUACUCAAGAAGAUUAAGCAAUAAUGAGGAUUUGAAAUAUUUGUGCUAUUAUCUAUGUGAGUUACGUCUACUGAAAUAGAGUUGUGUGGAACUCUAAUCUUUUAUACAGUUGUUGCUACUCCUACAUUCCUUUGGAGGCUUAUACUUCAAUCAUUUGUACAUCCUUGGAGUCUGUGUGAAUUAUGAAGUGUCUUUUCAUUUUUCUCCUCCUUUCUUAUUUAUACACACAUAUGAACUAUGAUUUGUCCAUUCUAAAAUGGUAAGAAAAGUUAACUAAAAAAAUUAUUUGUGAAAUUUUACAGAAAAUUAGGAUGUUAAUUAAGAUGACUUGCUUGAAUAGUUAAAAAUAGAAUUAAUGGGGGAGAAUAAAAGAAGGAACAAACAGAAAAGACAAAUGAAAAAAUAGAGGAGAGAAGUCAAAUUUUCUUUUCUUUAAUUUUGUAUCUCUAUUCAUUUAUUUUUUUCUUUUCUUUCAAUAAUGUAUAUGAAAAUUAUUGACAGCAAAAUUUUAAAUAACUUCCCAUUUUCUUGCAAAUAAAAACAAAAACAAUUGUUUCAUAGUAUUACUUUUAAAUUUUAUUGUUUGGUUUGCUUUAGAACUAAGAUAUCUUAAAUUAAAUAGAUAAAGAUAGAAUACACUAAAGAGGGGAAAAAAUAAAUGAAAGAAAACAAAAGAAAAAAAGAAAAGUUUUUUUUUUGGGUGUCCUCUUUGUUAGGGUUUUUUCCCUAAUUUUCUUACUAUAUUUAAGUUUUACUUUUUCUUAGAAGAAAAAUAAAAAUUAUCAUAAUUACUUUUACUUUUCCUGAAAGAAAAAAUAUAAUUCUUUUCCAUAUUUGGUUAACCUCUUUCUUGGAGGAAAGGUUUUGGAACUUUAUAAAUAGAAUACCCCCUUCUCAUACCAUAACACAAUAGCAUCCACAAUAUAGUCAUUAAAAUGUCUUUAUUUAGGGGGAGAUUUAUCCCAAUAGAUUUAAUGUUUUUGAUAUUAGGUCUUAUAAUAUGUAGGCCGAUUGGCCAAAACAUAUAAUAACUUCAUGCUUUUAGUAUUGUUUUAUUUGUCGUCUGAAUUAUCACCACGCUAGUUUGCAACUAAUAGCUUCCACAUGAUGCCCUCUCGAUUUCGAACUCAACAAGUGGUAUCAGAGCUUACGGUUCAAUAGUCCAAUGGUGUGGUGAGACAAAAUUAAAUAGGUUCAAAGCGGUUUCAAAAUCAAGUUGCAACCAAUUUAAUGAUAAUGAAGAUAUAUGUCCAAAAACUACAUAUGGAGAUAGUUGUCAAUCAUAUUUUCAACAAUCCUGCUGUCACAUAUUUGAAAAUAAAACUCACUUUUAACCCUGCAAAAGGGCUCCAAUAUUUUUAACCCGAAAAGGGCUAAUAUAUUUUUUAACCCCAAAAGCUCUAUUUUUAAACAUGCCAAACAGCAGUGAUAUAUGAAGAAUAUAUCUGAAGAGCGAAGAUCAUGCACAAGAAGAAGGAGGAUCAAGAAUAUUUUGAAGAAAAUCAAGCCAAAAAGGGGAGAUUUGUUAGGAUUUUUCCCUGAUUUUCUUACUAUAUUUAAGUUUUACUUUUUCUUAAAAGGAAAAUAAAAGUCAUCAUAAUUACUUUUACUUUUUCUGAAAGAAAAAAUAUAAUUCUUUUCCAUAUUUGGCUAACCUCUUUUUUGGAGGAAAGGUUUUGGAACGCUAUAAAUAGAACACCCCCUUCUCAUACUAUAACACAAUAGCAUCCACAAUGUAGGCUUUAAAGUGUCUUUGUUUAGGAGGAGAUUUUCUCUCUAAUAGUUUUAUGUUUUCUUUUAUAUUAGGUUAUAUGUAGGACAAUUGGCCAAAUUAUAUAAUCAUCAUGUUUUUAGUAUAUUUUUCUUUUCUUCUGAUUUAUCGUCUCAAUAGUUUGCAACUAAUAGCUUUCGCAUGACGCUCUCUCGAUUUCGAACCCAACACUCUUUUCAUUCGCUUAUAAAUUUUUAUUUGAGAGAGUGAAAAUAAUGUCAAUGUUAGCAUAAUUGUGCAUAAAUCAUAUAAAAAAUAAAUGCUUAGAGGAAGAAAACAAACGUAAUGACAGAUUAAGUUUGCAUUCCUAAUAUUCUUCAUUACUAUUUAAAAAAAAAAAUCCUAGUUUUAAAAAUAUUUUUGUCUUUUGAAUGAAAAUUGCAUGUAUAAUUUAAAGUGUUGUUUGAUAUUAACUUCAAAUAUGUAUUUUAUUAAGUGAAUAGAAAUAUCGAAUGUUUUUUUUUUUCAUAAAUCCUUUGAGAAAGAUGAUGUGCAAGGUCAGCCUUCCCAAGGUCAUUCGAAUAUUUAUUUUAUUAGUGUUGUCGUUCUUUCCUCCAUUGUUGAAGUUUGAGGGCAGCUUUUUAUAUUUUUUAUCAUUUAUUUUCUCUCUUUUUAAUUCUUAGAAUUAAGUCUUCCGCUAACACAUAAAAGAAAAUAUCUUCUUUUUGUCAUUGAAUUUUUAUUAGAAAAUUUAUACUUUUUUUAUUAAAAUAAUUAAUACUAAAAAUCUGAUAAAAUGAUUAAUUUACUAAUUUUUUAAUAUAAUGAUGACAUAAAUAUCCAAUAAAAUAUUGAUAUCAAAAUGUGACACAUUUGAUAGGGCAAGAAAAGCUACAUUCUUAUUUUCUUUUUCUUUUAUUAAAAGUUCUUCAGUUUUCGCUCAGCUCCCCUCCUCCAAUUUAUAUGGCCAAGCAUUAACAUUUGUGUUUUUAUCAAAUUUUUAAUAUUUAUCUCAUUUUUAAUUACAAAUUAAAUAAAUUCUUAUGUAAAGAUUGACUUCAAUGUAAACAUAAAUUUAUUGUUAUUAUAAUUAAUAUGAUUAAUUACUUUUCCUAAUACUCUUUGUUUUCCUUCUAUGUACGUUAUAUAUUUCCUCCGUUCGAUUUUACUUGUCAUAUUUUGAUGGAAAAAUGACCUUCUAGACCCCUGUACUAUGUCGUUUUUGUAAGUUGGACACUUCUACUUACAUGUUUGUCAUCUGGACCCUUGAACCCAUAAAAAAGCCACAUUUCGCACCCUCUGACCAUUGACCUUACCUAUGUGGCAUUGGAAUGGUGACUACAACAAAGAGAGUGUAGCCACUCGCCUGGGAGUGCGAGUGAGGGCCAAUUUAGGCCAAUUUUACAUAAAAAUAAUUAAAAAAUAUGUUAAAUUUUUUUAAAAAAAGAGACCUUUUUUUUCCUCCAUCUUUUUAAAUUUAAAAAUUUUAAAAAAAUUUAAAAAUUAAAAAAAAAAAAAAAAAAAAAAUAAAAAAGGUCCUCUCCCUCCUCAACCCCGUCCAGCACCCCUACCCCCAACCCCACCGUCCCCCACCCUAUCCACUAGCCCGCCACCCUACCCCACCCCAUCCACCCCUCCAUCACCCUNNNNNNNNNNNNNNNNNNNNNNNNNNNNNNNNNNNNNNNNNNNNNNNNNNNNNNNNNNNNNNNNNNNNNNNNNNNNNNNNNUUUUUAUUUUUUGGGGGAUUAAAAUUUAAAUUUAAAUUGAAAGUGAGUGAUAGUGAAUAUUUAAAAAAAUUAGUGAAUUUCGCUUGAAAAAAAUAAAAUUUUUAUGAAUUUGUUAAAAAUAUUCAAAUAUAAAAAUAAAAAAUUUAUUAUGUUUGUAUAAAUGAAUUUAUAGAAAAAAAUUUAAAUUAGUUGGAGAAGAAUUUUAAUUAUUUGGAAUGGAUUUGAUGUUUAAUUUUGAGCAAACAUAAAAACAUGAUUAUUCAAAUUUUUCUACAAUUUAUAAAUUUUUUUAUUUAAUUAAAUUAAUUUUAAUAUUUAAUUUAUUAUGUAGCAUUUUAAAAAUGACUUGGAAUUUAAUGUAAUAUUUUUUUAUUUUUUUAUUUUUUAUUUUUAAAAAGAUGUGGCAGACGUGGCAGGUGACUGUGGGAGAGUGUGUUAUACUCACCAAAAAAGGGUUAAAACUGUUGCUUUUUAGUGGGUUCAAGGGUCCAGAUGACAAACAUAUAAGUAGAAGUGUCCAACUUACAAAAACAACAUAAUAUAGGGGUCCAGAAGGUCAUUUUGCCUAUUUUGAUUUAGCACACUAAUUAAGGAAAAACAUUAAUAACAUGGUUAUUUUACUAUAGUACCCUACCAAAUCAUGCAACUCUUAGACUAUUCCAGAGGUGAGUUACCUUUUAAAUACCUUGGAAUCCCACUAUCCACUAAAAAGAUGUCCAUAGUGCAAUGGAGCCCAUUAAUUGAUAGAAUUGUAGAAAGAAUCACUUCUUGGACAGCAAAAUACCUACCCUAUGUAGGAAGACUUUAGUUAAUAUAAUUUGUGUUGAUUGGCAUCAAAAUAUAUUGGACACAAUUGUUCACUAUCCCAGCCAAGGUGCUAAGGAUCAUUGAAAGUUAUUGUAAAAGCUACUUAUGGUCUGGAGGCAAUGUCAUCACAAAGAAAGCUUUAGUUGCGUGGGACAAAGCUCUUACCAAAGAAUGUUGGAGGACUGAACAUUCUAAGCAUUGUAAAGUGGAAUAAAGCUGCAGUAACUAAGUUGUGUUAGGAUAUAACUGCUAAGAAAGAUGCAUUGUGGAUCAAGUGGGUUCAUGCAUAUUACAUCAAAGGAGUUGAUUUCCAACAGGCUGCUACCCUAAAGCAAGCAGCAUGGCUUAUUAGGAAGAUAUUUGACAACAGAGGCAUCCUUCUGGCAACAAAAAGGAACUUAGAUCCUAAGAGUAAGAUCACAAGACAAAUAUAUCACCAGCUACUGGAAAAUGAAGAAAGCAAAAGCUGGAAAGGGAUGAUGUUUUGCAACUAUGCUCGGCCAAAAGCCAUCUUUAUUUUGUGGCUACAUUUACAGAGAAGGCUGAUGACCAAGGAUUGAUUAACUAAAUGGGGCAUUGAAGUGGAUUUGAAAUGUGUUUUUGGUCAACAAGAAGAUAAAACGAACCAACACUUAUUUACCACAUGUGCUAGCGUCAAAACAACCUGGGCCAGCACUCUAAGGUGCCUGCAGGUAACAGAACCACAAUGUACAUCCUGGAGAAGACAACUAGAAUGGGUCGUGCAGCAGGCAAAAGGAAAAACAAGCAGAGCCCUUCUUUUCAAAAUGGCUUACACAAAAUUCAUAUAUUUCAUAUGGCAAUAGCGCAAUCAACGGGUGUUUGAGAAAAAGAGAAAACAGUCCGAGCAAGUAGACAGAGAAAUAGAGUAUUCAUGUUGUAUACGAGCACCAUCUAGAUUGAAAGUUGAAAUUGAUAGAUGUCUAGCAUGCUGUUAGAAGAGAGGUGAAGUAGCAAACUGAGUAGUAGCUGGUUGAGUCAUAAAACAGUUACACUUAUGUAUUUACUACUUGGUGAUUAAUAAAAUGUUAGUUACCAAAAAAAAUGACAUAUGAAGGUAGAAAUCCAAUUAGGAAAUUAGUGACAAAUAAAAGCAAACAGAGGAAGUACCAUUUUCUUCCUCCCUUAAGCUAAUCAUUAUUUCUAUUUAUAAGUUUCCUUAAAUUUCUCCUUUUCCUUAUUUUGUUUUCCAUUUUAAAUGAGUUUUAUUGCAAUUAAUUAAUAAACUUAAAUUACAGUCUAUAUUUUCUUGAUUAUGUGUGUUAAUGAUAGUAAGAGUUUUAUUUUCUAUUUUAUACUUUUGAAAUUUGUAAAGCGGAACUUGAUGAGACUUUAAUACUUUUAUUAUUAUUAGUAUUAUAAAGAAACAUAAGGUCGAAGAGUUUUAUUCUUUUAAGCAACAUAAAAUGAUAGUAAUUGAGACAAUUAUUUAAUAUGACUUUUUGUUACUAUAAAUACUAGAGACUUGUUUUUUAUUGCAUAACUUUCUACAUUUCUGUGACAUAACUUUCUUGAGAAAAUUGAAGGAAAGGUUUCAUUUAAGUCUUGAAUGAAGGAUUGGUGACAUUGAUCAACUUAAAGGGUCAAACAUAAUUAGAAAACUUAAUUAAGUUAAUUGUGGACUUAAUUAGUAUUUUUAAAACUUUCUAAUCUUUUCAAAAAUAUAAAUCAACCCACACCCCUCUCCUCUGCAAAUGAACUAUCUCUCUCCUCUCUCUCUCCCCCAAUCAACAGUUCUGUAAAAUUUCUUCCCUCAAUCCCCAGCAAUUUCAACCUCCAGCAAAAAAUAGUUGAGCGAGUUUCUUUUCGACUUUCAACCGUCAAUCAACGUGACAACAGUGUUCUUCAGUAACAACAAUUUUGAGUUAUUCAUCGUCCCAUUUCUUCUUUCACAGGUAAAAAAAUUAUGUCUUUUUAGUUAUGAAGAAAAAGAGGAACUUGAGCCAACUUCUCUUCUAGUAUUGGUUAACAAUUUAAAUAUUUCUUGCUUAAAUUUGAAAUGUGGACUGAAGAAGACCCUAAUUUCUGGCAUUUCUUCUCUACUAUUUUUGGUGUGAAAUAUAAUUUUUUAUUGUUAUUGUAGCUCUUGUUGUCAAACUGUUGAUUCGAUUUGUUGGUGUCUAUUGUAUUUUUUGAAGUUUAAUUUUUGUUGUUUGUGUUUGUAAAAAUGCAAAAAAAACAAUGUUGGUGAUUUUUUGUUACCAUUGAUAUUCUUAGUGUGUGUGUUGUGUUGAUGUUGCUGGUUGAUUUGUUGUUUUUCUUUGUAAAAAUAGUGUAUUUGAUAUUAAAUGGUGAUAGUGUUGUUGUUUUAUUAAACAAAAUCUUAGUACUAUUUUUUCUACAAUAGAUGAACCAUCUGAUGCAACAGAUGAAUCUUCUAAUGCAACUGAUGAACUAUCUGAUGUAACGAUGAAAAUAAGAUGUAACAGAUUAAAAUAUGAUGCAAUAAUGAAAAUCUGAAGCAACAGAUGAACAAUCUAACAGAUCAUUCAUCUGUUGUGAUAGAUGACUCUUCUAUUUGGAAGAAACCUAACAAUAUUGACAGUUGAUAAUAGUUCCAACAGGUAACUCAUUUGGCAACAGAUGAGUGAUCUGUUUUUACUAUUUCCAAUGGAUUACUCAUCCGUUGCAACAAGUUGGUUAUAUGUUGCAAUAGGUAACAUACCUGGUGCAACAGAUCAGUCAUCUAUUUCAGCAGAUGAGUGAUCUAUUUUUAUUAUUGCAAUAAAUUACUUAUCUAUUCAAUAGGUUAGUCAUAUGUUGCAACAGAUAAUCUACCUGGUGCAACAGAGGAGUGAUCUUUUUUAUUAUUUCUAAUGGAUUACUCAUUCGUUUCAACAAGUUGGUUAUAUGUUGCAACAGGUAACAUACCUGCUGUAACAGAUCAGUCAUUUGUUUCAAUAGAUGAGUGAUCUAUUUUUAUUGUUGUAAUAAAUUACUCAUCCAUUACAACAGGUUAGUUAUAUGUUGCAACAGAUAACCUACCUGGUGCAACAAAGGUGUGAUCUGUUGGAACUGUUAUGUUAUUAUUGUACAUGUUUGAUUUACUGUUAUCCUUUUUUAACGAUACAUUAAUCAAUUAUAAUUUAUUUUAUGUUCUUGUUAUUUUUAGAUUAUAUGGCUUCCAAAAGAAAAGAAACCGAAUCAAGUCUAAGUAAAGUAACAAGUGAAGCAGCUAGGCUACAUCCACCACUCUAUGAGCUUGCUUUACAAGAUUUAUCUCAAUCAGAAAUAGAAGAUAAUGAACAUGGAGAGGAGGAAUGUUUCAAAAGAGAUAAUCCAAAUUCUAAUAGCCCUUCCACCAAAGAGUUGGUCAAAACCUUCAGCAUUGAUAGUUAUCCAGUGAGAAUGCAGUGUGAUGGUGCCACAGAUUUAACGGGUGAUUUCAUGGUUAAGUCAGCUAUGGAAAAGUCUUUUGACGCUUUCAGAAAAAUACUUCGUGAAAAAAAUUUGGAAGCUUAUUUUAGGGAUAGCUGCUUUGGGCAAUAUCUUGACUUACCGGAGGACAACAAUGCUCAUUUUCAAAUGAAAUGAUAUAUGAUCUUCUCAAGCAUAGUUUUAUGUCUGAAAACAAAGAUAAGAUGGAUGAGAUGUAGAUAAAUUACUGUGGCAUGUAUGUUUGUUUUGGUUAGAGGAAGUUUGUCAUAGUUAUUGGAUUAAAAUGUUAUCCUCUUUCUCCUUCUUAAUUUAUACCAAGUCUAACCCCAAAAAAGCACCCCACACACCCUAAAAAGACAAAGGUAAGUCGAGUAAUCGUGAUGACCUAGUGUCCCUUGUUGGUCCAAGCUUCAAAAAUAUAAAUUUGAUAAAAGCGUUGAAAGGUAAAAGACUUUCAAAGAAGCACAAUCAAUCAUUGUGCUUGGUUUAGUUUGUACAUAAUAUUCUUUGGAAGAGACGUUAACAACAACAUACAACUUGGUUUGAUAAAUCUCUCCGAGGAUCUUGAGGCAUUUAACAGCUAUCCUUAGGGUUGUGAAAGCUUCAAAAUGACUGUCAAAUAUUUGUUGACUCCGUUAACUCCAAAGACAGUCAACUUAUAUGGCUUUCCAUGGGAUUUCAUGGUAAAUAUUUCUUUUAUUAUGACAUGAUUCAUUUUUUGAUCCAAUAAUAUUUUUGAUUUAUUGGUGUUAUUUUAUAGGUUUGGGCAUUUGAAGUCAUUCCUUAUUUGAGAUAACAAGUGAACCACCCGAAAAAAGUUUUCUGUCCAAGAAUCCUGAGAUGGUUGUCGGCCAAUACUGAUAAAAAUGUAAAAUUUCUUGAUCUCUUCUACCCCUCAAAGGAAGCAGUAAGUCUAAUUCUAAUUAAGUUUUUAUUUUAAUUAAUGAUUUUUUAAAAUAAUUUCAUCUUUAUUCUAAUAUAUGUACUGAUUUAUUUUAGAUUGUCCAUCCAUGGCUUGUUCCGACCAAUCGAGAGUUGAAGAUUCCAUUUUUUCUUACUUUACGAUCUGUGCAAACUUUAUCGGACCCUAAGGUCAUUGAUAGAAUAAAAAAGAAAUUAUUUGGAGCAAUAGUCACCAUAAGAAAAAUAAUUUUGGAGGGUGGAUUUGUUGUUGUUGAUGAUGGUAGUGGUAGUGGUGCUAUUGUUGGAUCUAAUGAUGCUCCUCUUAUAAUUUCUGAAACAACAAACCACUAUGAUUAUGAUCAUACUGGUUAUACAGAUUUUGCCACUUCUAGCAAAUGUUCGGCAUGCAAAUAUCAAGACUACAAGGUGAAACAUGAUGAACUGAUUAAUGUUAUUAAUGUAUUAACUUAUUCUGUAAAGAAAAUAACAUCUAAGAGGGGUGUCAUUCCAUCAGAGAGGAUUUCAUAUCCAUACACUCCAUUAGAGAUCAAGGUGUCUAAGAGGAGAAGGAAAAAAAAUUCCAAGGCAUCAUCAAGCAUCGAAAAAAGCAAAAUUACAACUCUUCUGUCUUUAUCUUGCACCUUUGAUCAAUGUACAAGAGCCACAGGAGAGCAGCAUGAGCUAAGAAGGUGAAUAUAUAUCAUCUAUUCCAACAAACAAACAAACACAUAUCUAUUUCAACAGAUGAUACAUCUACUAAAAAUUAUCAAACAGAUAUAUAUGCAUCUAUUACAACUGUCGUCUAACCUGUUGUAUCAGAUGCGUUAUCUAUUGCAACAUAUGUUCGUCUGUUUUAGUAAAUCAAACAGGUAUUCGUACUAUUUUAAUUUAUAUCAAUAGAUGAGCCAUAUGUUGCAACAGAUUGAUCAUCUGUUCGAAAUUAUCUUACAGCUCUAUUUUACCUAUUUGAAUUUAUCCCAACAGAUGAUACAUCUGAUGCAACAUAUAGAUAAUCUAUUGUACAUCUGUGAUUAGCAUUAACAAUUCUGGCUUUCCAGGUGGAUGUCACAGCAGAAGCUACUGCUGAACAACAUAAUAUCACAGUUGAUAAUCCAUCAACUGUUUCUAUGAAAGAAGAAAAAGUAGAGCCUGUCAGUUUGGGAGAACAAAAGAAUUACCCGUUUGAAAGGUUCAACAUCUCAAACGAGGCUCCAAAAAACUAACAAAGUUGAUCAACGACUAUUCAAAAUUGAUUGUCGAUGGGCUGUUAAAGCAUCAUGCCGACAGGUACAUAAAUUAUUUUUAAAGAUAUUGAGUUAUACAAUUCUUGUUGUAAAAACAUGACAUUAACAUAUAUAAAUUAUGUAGAAAAUAAAAUGACGAAUACUACAAAGUGAAUGAAUCGAGUCUUGAUUUUGAUAUAUUCGAUUUUGUUGUUUUGACAUUCCGAAAUAAAGUAUUGGUUCUAUUUGAUGUCACAACCCCAAACUUGUUGGAUUGAUGAGGUUUAAAUGUCAUACACAUUACUAUUAAUUAAUAUUUUAUUUAAUUGCAUCUGCAUAGUAAUUUUAUUAUCACGUAAUCUGAAAUGUUUGAUAAUAUGUGCAGCACAUCAAUGUCAUUUUUUACCACCUCCGAAAAAAGGUCAAGUUGCAAACACAAGAACAAUACAGAUACACGACAGAUAAUUGUUUAUACAAAGUUUACAUCAAUAAUGCCUAUGAUAGGUUUUGUCAACAACAGCCGCAAGUUUCCCGAAAUGAGGAAUGGUUAAUCAACAUCAUCAAAGAUUUUAGCAUUCCAGCUGGCUUACCUCGGUAUUUGAUCGAUGGAGUGUACAUCUCAAUCAAUUAUGGUGAUGAAUUCCAUUGGGUGUUGGUUGUCGUCAUUCUAAAAGAAAGAUGCAUCCAAGUUUAUGACUCGAUGUCGCAAAGGAGAUGUUUCGAGCCAUCGUCUGAGAUACAAAAGCUGGCCAAAAUAUUGCCUACUUACCUUGAUAUGAGUGAUUUUUUGGACCAAAAGAUUCGUACUGAUUGGUCGACGAUUAAAGCAUACCGGGAUAAAAUGGGUAAUCCAUUUGACGUAGAAUAUAUUGAAGGAAUUUCUCAACAAUCCAUUGGUAGCUUGUAAGUAUCAUGAUUUAGUUUCAUUUCAUAAAUUUCACAACGCUUACAUGAAUUGCAAUAUAUGGAUUAUCCAUUUAUUAAAAAUGCAAGAAUUGCGGUCUUUUUGUUGCCACUUACGCCGAGUAUUUGAACGAUGGAUUAAAAGUACCAAAUGAUCGACUUGAUACCGGAUUACUCCGAAAAAUAUAUGCUCUUUUAUGGAAAUAAUGAGAAGCGAAAGCGCAGAAAUCGUACGCAAGCGACAUUAAAGAUCCACGACGAUCAAAGCUGAAUUCCAUAGCAUCGAAUGAAAAAACAACUUGUCCAUAUUGAGUAAAUCCUUAUAGCUUGAGUCUGUCAAAGUAAUAACCUCUCCUUGGGAAUUAUUGGCACCAAAAGUUAAAUUGUUGAUUUGUUUGUAGAGUAGAUGAUUUGUUUGUAGCAUAGAUCAUUUGUACCCAUAUAAUUUUUUUUACAUUUCAUUUAUUUGUUGAGUUAUUUCAUGUAAUUUCUGAAGGCUUCGAUUUAUUUUAUGUUGUCUAUGAAUAUAGUUUAAUCCUUAGUUUUGAACUUAUUACUUGAAAUGAAAUACUAGAUUCAAAUAUUGCAACAUAUAAUACAUCUGUUGCAAUAGACGACAUAUCUAUUGGAAAUUAUCAAACAGAUUUAGACAUAUAUUGCAACAUGCAGCUCAUCUGUUGGAAAUUAUCAAAAAAAUCCUCCUACUGUUUUGAUUUGUUCCAAUAGAUUACCAAUUAGUUGCAACAGAUAGACUAUAUGUUACAACAAAUUGUAUAUUUGUUAUGACAGAUAGACUGAGAAAUAUUUGCAUAAUGCAACAGAUGACCAAUCCAUUGCAACAGAUAAUAAAUCUAUCACAAAAGAUACUAUCUGUGACAACAGAUAGACAAUCUGUUGCAUUAUAAAAAAUUUAACUUUCGUCAAACAUAAAAAAUUGUCACUACAUGUAAAGUGAAGUGGCUUGAAAUAAAAAAUUGUUAUGGUGUAUGUCUUUGUACAUCUUCUUUAUACACAGGCUCCAAGCAUCUAGUUAGUACCCCAUAAGCCCAGGCCUCUUGCAUCUUUUCCAAAACGAUGUCGCACAUACCAGUCAUUUCUAUGUCGGUCAGCAAACAUUCGAUGUAUGCAAGCACGUACUGCCCGCACGUGGCACCGAUAUUAUUUUUUUGAAGGUCCAUGUCCUUGUUUUGACUUUCAAAAUCCCAUACUUUUUUCAUCAACACUUUCGCUGACAAAUGAUCCAUCAGUUUACUCUGCCUCAAUAAACUUAGGAGCAACUCCAACAGUGGUUGUACAUGGGUAAAAUUGCAGUCGUCGAAAACAGCUAAGUUGCAGUCAUAAACUUUAAUCGUUCCCUCCUCGAGAAAUAUCUCAAUAACGAGAAAAUGUUUGACUUCCACGUUUAUGACUGCAAGAAUUCUCUUUGCCUUGGUCUAUCUCUUGUCGUGUGGAUAUGACCUCUUCCCUCUAACAUAGUUAAUCGUAUCUUCAUCUCCAUUGGAACCUAGAAACUAACGAAUCAAAUCCUUGGCCACCGAGAGUUGGCGCUAGCUUACUGAGCUCAUUGAACCUAUUCUUGAAAUUGUUGUAGAAGUUGAGGUCAAUUAUCCUAUCGGCAGCACCAUAAGCAUCUGGGUACGCUAAUUGUCUGUCACUCAUGAGGCAGAGAAUUUCAUCAACAUUUUGUGAUAUAAGAAGAUAUUUUUUAAAUAGGUUAGUAAUUGUAAGGAAGAAAAACAUAGUGGAAAGAUGCAACUGGUCCAAUUGUUAAAGAGAAUUCUCUAAAUCUGUUCACAGAUUCCCUAGCUAACGCAACUUAUGCAACAGAUGUUUAAUCUGUUGCAACAGAACCACCACCAGUUGCAUCAAAAUACCCUGUUAUUGCAACAGAUUACAAAUCUGUUGCGUAGCUUCUUCUUCAUGGAGUUGAUUAGAAGGCUAGGUUAGGAAAAGUAAACUUACCUUGUCCACGUACCACUUACACAUAUUUGUCAUACUCUUGAAGUCUUGGGCGUCAAACAUAUGCAUGGUGUAUUCUUGUGCAAGUUUCUUCUUCUUGGCAUACGUGGUCUUUCCCAGUUCCUUCCUCUCUUCAUCGCCAAGUGCUAGGUAUAUGUCCACCUUCUUCAAUCGCCCCAGAACUUCAACAACUUUUAGAGAGGGAGGAGUUGUAAUUUUUUUUGUUUUCAGACAGGAUAGUAACUGACUAAUUUUUCUUUUCUUCCUCUUAACCGUCACUGUAGGUCUGUAUGGCUCCCUCACCUUCUUGGAUGGUAUGACACCCUUCUUGGAUUUCAAUUCCUCAACAGCUUCAGCGAUAGUCUCUAAUUUUUUAAGGAGUUUAUCUUGUCUGUCCUUGCACACUUUGCAUUUGCAAUGAGAACAUGAGGUAAAGAUGGGUGAGAGAGACCACUGUAAGGAUGGGAGGUACCGAUGUAAGGGUGAGAGGGACCUAUAUAAAGGGUGAUUUCAAAUGUAUUUAUUUUUUUCUUGAGCAUCAACAUGCUCAACAUCAUAACUGGCAGCAGCAGCAGCAUCAGGAUGGCUGCCACCAACAUCAACAACACCUCCAGCAAUACCCCUAGAAAAAGCACCCAGAUCUGUUGCAGUAUGUUGGUUAUGAAGAGCUUCAACAUUAAGCUGAUCUUGCCUAACUGCUCUUCUUAUGGCUGUUGCUCCAGCCAAUUUCCUCUUUAUUAACUCCGCUGUUGGGUCUGCUAUUGUAUCAACACGACCUAGAGUAAUAAAAGAAGUCAUUCCCGACUCCUGCUCAGUAGGCACGAUCCAAGAAUGCGCAAUCUAUAAAAAAAUAGAUACAUUUAAAUCAUAUAAUAAUAAUUUACAGUCAGUUGGAUUACAAGUUAACACAGUCAACUUGUGCAACAGAUGAUCUGUCGCAACAGCUGAUCUGUAUGUCGUAAUAGAUUAAUAAUAUAUUGCAUCAGAUUACCCAGCUGUUGCAUAAUUUGCAGUAGAUGGGUAAUCUGUUGAGUUAGUUAACCUAAAUGCUAGGAAACAACUUAUUUGGAUUAGUGGAAUCAGUUUCAACCAAACAUUAAGUAAUUUCAGGCUCAUUAACCUAUCAAAUCCUUUGAGGGUUGGUUGAACAAGCUGCAUUGAACAAUGCUCGAGAAAGUGAGUUGUUCAACCGUUGGGACCAUUGCUUAAGUAUGCAUCAGCACGUUGACCUAAAACAAACAUAGCGACCUACUAUGUACCAUUUAAGUUUUCUUAAGAAAGUGCUCUGGAAGCCUCCUGAAGGCCUUUUACAAUGCCACAACUUCGAAGAAAAUGUUCCUCAUUGUCGAGCUCACAAAAGACCAAGAACUCUAUACUAACCUCAAAGAUGGCAACGACAAACUUGAAUACCGAAUCAACAAGCUAGAGACAAACUUAAAAAUUAUCGGAAUUCACAUACUAUAAGAAGUAUCUGAUCUUCUCUAAGAUAUAUUAAAAGCAUACUAAGGCAAGAAAACACAACCAAUUAUAUUCAUAUUUUUAAGGAAGAAAUAAUACUCAAUCUGCCUUUCAAUCUUGUUUAUGGUUAUGAUCAGGUCAAUAACAGUGGACCUAAUCGAAACCACAAACAAGAAGGCAUGGGAUGCAAUUUAAAAUUCAGAAAUUACCAUUUUCGCUUAGAUUCCUUAUUUUAAUUGCAGUUGUUCUUGGUGCAAGUUUUCUUGACUUACUGUACAUCAUUUCAACCCUCAGUGUCCGCAAAGCUACUUUCUUGAUGUUCUGUUAUUUUCUAUGUAGGUGAUCACUGUCGUACCCAUUUUUUACCUAAGGUCAAAACGUGCACAACAUUAUGAACUCUAAAAGAAUUAAUUUUGUACAAUAUCAUCACCUAAUUUUUAAGAAAAAUAAAGAAACCUAUUUAUUUAUUAACAUGUAUAACUUGUGCUUUAAUCUACACACCAAUUUGAAUUCUAGGUAAAAGUUUAAAUUAUUCCGAAGGAAAGGAAUUAGACACCCUUCAGAAUCCACAAAUGUUGUUUCCAACCAGAUUUAGGUUUAUUAAAAAAUGAAGAAAAAAUCAAUGUGCAUACAUACAAAUAUAAAAUGUGUAAAAAUGAUGUAAAUAAUUUAUAUGUAAAGAAUGUAUAAAUUAUAUAUACUAUAGUAAAAAUAUGUAUGAAGAUACUAAAAUAAAAUUAUAUAUAGGAAUAUAUAUGAAAAGAAAAAUAAAGAUUGAAUAAAGAAAAAUUUGUUUUAAAGAAAAAAAAUAUCGUAAUGUUUUCAAAGUAAAAAAGUAUGAAUUAUUUUUAUUAAUUAUCUAAAUCGAUUUAAUGUAUAUAUUAACAACCUAGACUUGCCUAAAUUUGCCUAUACGCGUGAUGAAAAUUGUGUAAAUAAAGAAUAUCUCACCCAACACCUCAAAAGUAAAGUUUUCACUAUAAUAAUAUUUGUACAAUUAUAAGAAUAUAAAAUACAACACAAAAUUUAAAGUUAUCUUUGAAUGCAACUCCCGACGAAUAUUCUCAAUAACUUGUAUGAAUAUUUGUAAUAAAAAUAUUAAUAAUAAAUAAAUAAUUAUCUAAAUAAAUUUAAAAGGUAAGUAUACAUAUAUAUUUAUUGUAAAAAAGUGGGCUCAGUUAAGUUUUAAAUAUUAUAAGAAUUUUGUAUCGCCCGAAAAUAUUUAUUUUUAUUACGUAAUUACAUACGUAAAAUUUGUCUUUUUAUUUGUGAAGGCCUCAAAAACCGACGAUAAUUUUUUCAUUGGCCAACUAAUGUAGUAUCUGUUCGUUAUCGGUCAAACAUAUCCAAAAAUCAGUAAAAGAGAAAAAAUGCCACUUGAACUGACCCCAAAUCUGCAAACACAAGUAUGGAGUGAAACAGCACCAUUAAAAAAGAUUGACGAGUCAUCAAAAAUGUGCAAAAACAAGAAUCAAUCCAAAACGUCAGAAUUAGUGUUAGAACAGAGCAACAAUCAACCAAAAAUCAUCAUAAAUGGAUCCCAAAACAAGCGAUAUCCGUCGGAGAAAACCAAGAUCUCGCUGAAAAAUCCAACAUCACCAGAAAGUAUUUGUUCAGUCAGAUUUGUCUAACUACGGUCAGAUCUAAAAAAAUAAAAUUAUACAAGAACAAACACAAUAAAAAUAUUGUCAAGCAUUGAAAGUAAAUGAAGAAACCAACCAACACCGCUACUUCGACGGCGAUGGAACGCCGGAGCAGCGGAUCUUUCGUGCCAAGUUCGAGAAGAUCUACGAGGGGGGCGUGUCUCGACGGAGCUCUUUCCGGAGGAGAGACAGCAGUGCAAAUGAAAGGAUAAGGGAGGCGGCCGGAGUUGUUGGAGCGGCUGGCGAUACGAGGCUCGCCGGUGAGGGAGAGCCUAUCGAGGUGUCGGCUGUAUGGUGGUGAUAUGGUGUUUUGGGAUUUGUGGGUUGUUGGGCAACGGGGAAAUAGGGUUCGGAGGUCGUGGCUGAACGUUGGUGGUGCGGCUGAAACUCGCCGGUCACCACUCCCGGCGAGCCAGCGACGGAGGAGAUAGAAAGGGAGAGAGACGUAAGUUUUGAGAGAGAAAUGGAUAAAAAUCUGAUUUGUAUGUGUGUAAAAAUAAUUUACCCUUUCUUUAUUUUAUAAUACAAAAUAAUCCCUCGUUUUUAUUUAAAAUAUUAAAUUAUCCUCUUUAACCAUUAAACAAUAUGUUAUUAACUAAAGGAUAAAAGAUUCAACCAAUCAUCUCAAUUGUCAUCGUUUAAAAAAUUAAUAUGAUUUUGAGUUAAUUAAUUUAUUGCUCUGUCUAUAAAAAAAAAUAAUUAAGCCUAUAUUAU
rnacentral:lncRNA from 1 species